CCAGACUCCUACGGGAGGCAGCAGUGGGGAAUAUUGCACAAUGGGCGCAAGCCUGAUGCAGCCAUGCCGCGUGUAUGAAGAAGGCCUUCGGGUUGUAAAGUACUUUCAGUCGGGAGGAAGGUGUCAAGGUUAAUAACCUUGGCAAUUGACGUUACCGACAGAAGAAGCACCGGCUAACUCCGUGCCAGCAGCCGCGGUAAUACGGAGGGUGCAAGCGUUAAUCGGAAUUACUGGGCGUAAAGCGCACGCAGGCGGUCUGUCAAGUCGGAUGUGAAAUCCCCGGGCUCAACCUGGGAACUGCAUUCGAAACUGGCAGGCUGGAGUCUUGUAGAGGGGGGUAGAAUUCCAGGUGUAGCGGUGAAAUGCGUAGAGAUCUGGAGGAAUACCGGUGGCGAAGGCGGCCCCCUGGACAAAGACUGACGCUCGGGUGCGAAAGCGUGGGGAGCAAACAGGAUUAGAUACCCUCGUAUU
rnacentral:rRNA from 1 species